AUUAUCAAUAAUGUACUAGACUCGCUACGUUCAAAACCACAUAGAGCUUACUACAAAAAGCGAGAAAGCGGUGGAUAACAACUGGGUUUAGAAAAUUUGUUCUAGAUAGAGCUCUGAGUUAUUACAGCGGUUGUUCAAACGUCAAUACGAGACAUUUUCCAACAAAGUACAGAUAUAAAAGGGCAAACAACACAGGUGGAUAAAGCAUCUUAAGUCUGCACCUCGUAAAGCUAUGACAAUGAGAGAAAUGUAUCCACCCAGGCAAUCAGAAUAUUGAGUGCAACACGGAAGGUGCGCUGCAGCUCAAAGAGAGCCAUGGUUGUGGGCAUCAAGUUCUCCAUCAGCUUUACCUCACAGGCACCACUUGUGAUUUCAUAGUUUGAACACCAAUGAACAUGGAAGUGAUUCUCAUCCUUCGAGAUGAAUUAUGGGAAUUAUACUUGGCACACAUGAUCGAGCCUUUGUGCCCUCUCUGCAAUAACCAACUAGAUAGACUUGUGAAAAUUCAAAUGUCUUCCAUUAGUUUUAUUUUGUUUUUGCUACAAAUGAUCAGUAUAAAGAUGUGCAUGAAUCACCAUUGUAACAAUUUCUUUGACUAGCAGACGCUGCAGCCUUAAAUAAAUGUUCACUUUAUCAUUUACUUGAAUGCAUUUAAUACAACUUGACAGUGCAGAAUAAUGUGAGUAAGAAGUUGUACAUUUAUAGUAUCUUAAGUCCAAAGGUAAGAUUUAAUAAAUUGUGGAAUUCAUAUCAGCUAUUUCCUUAAAUAGAGGAUUUGCAAAUGUACAAGAGUCACACAGAGUUGAAAAUCUUAGUGGACAGAUAUAUAUGUCUGUAUUGUGAAGGUAUAUGAUUUAGAAUAUGGAUGUUUUUAAUUAUUAAAUUGCACACUCCACAU